ACUCCUACGGGAGGCAGCAGUGGGGAAUAUUGGACAAUGGGCGGAAGCCUGAUCCAGCCAUGCCGCGUGUGUGAAGAAGGCCUUUUGGUUGUAAAGCACUUUAAGCGAGGAGGAGGCUACCUAGAUUAAUACUCUGGGAUAGUGGACGUUACUCGCAGAAUAAGCACCGGCUAACUCUGUGCCAGCAGCCGCGGUAAUACAGAGGGUGCGAGCGUUAAUCGGAUUUACUGGGCGUAAAGCGUGCGUAGGCGGCUGAUUAAGUCGGAUGUGAAAUCCCUGAGCUUAACUUAGGAAUUGCAUUCGAUACUGGUCAGCUAGAGUAUGGGAGAGGAUGGUAGAAUUCCAGGUGUAGCGGUGAAAUGCGUAGAGAUCUGGAGGAAUACCGAUGGCGAAGGCAGCCAUCUGGCCUAAUACUGACGCUGAGGUACGAAAGCAUGGGGAGCAAACAGGAUUAGAUACCCUGGUAGACAUCA
rnacentral:rRNA from 1 species